rnacentral:misc_RNA from 1 species
GAAAUGCGAUACGUAGUGUGAAUUGCAGAAUUCAGUGAAUCAUCGAAUCUUUGAACGCACAUUGCGCCCUUUGGUAUUCCAAAGGGCAUGCCUGUUCGAGCGUCAUUUGUACCCUCAAGCUUUGCUUGGUGUUGGGCGUUUUUUUGUCUUUGGCUCGCCCAAAGACUCGCCUUAAAACGAUUGGCAGCCGGCCUACUGGUUUCGCAGCGCAGCACAUUUUUGCGCUUGCAAUCAGCAAAAGAGGACGGCGAUCCAUCAAGACUCCUUCUCACGUUUGACCUCGGAUCAGGUAGGGAUACCCGCUGAACUUAAGC